ACAAAGGUAUUGAAAUAAGAUUUUAAUUGAAUGCUAAGAGAAUGGAAGUCCAGAAAAAAACUUUUUUUAAAUUAAAAAUUGAAAUUUUUUUAAUUUGUGCAGAGACAAUUAUUCAUAUUAAGGACAAGAAGACCCUAUGAAUUUAUUAAAUUUUUAUUUAAUAUGUAAUUACUAUUGAAAAAAUUUUGGCUGGGGCGGCUAAAAAAUAUUAUAAACUUUUUAAAAAUAAAAUGAUCCAUUAUUAAUGAUUCUAUGUUAAAUACUCUAGGGAUAACAGCGU
rnacentral:rRNA from 1 species